rnacentral:lncRNA from 1 species
GGGAGCACCAGAGAAGAAUGGAUUGUUAGAGCACAGUUGCUGCUUUUGUGGAACACAUUCUCUCUGCUUGUUUCUGCAGCCAGGCUAAUUUGCCGGAUUACCCCUUUAAUGCCGAUUACUGAAGCUGAAUCUCCUGAUGAGACACCUGGUGGAUUCUUUCUCUUCAUGAAGUGGAAUUUGCUCUCCCUGAGGCCCAUUUUAACUAAAUUUAUAUGAAAUUAUAUUGUGCUUGAUCUUGUCAGAAUCUAGGCAAAAUUAAAAAAAAAGUUUAUUAGUGCAUUAUAAUUGUACAUAAUGGGAUUUUUUAAAUGCUCUAAUUGUCCAUGCACACAACAUUAGUUGCUCAAUCUCCUUCCCAGAACCUUCUUUCCUUCUCCUCCCUCCCCCUAAGCAAGGUUUGAUUUAGAUCCAUAUGUUGAACCAGGGAAAGACUUAUACAGGG